rnacentral:rRNA from 1 species
UACGUAGGGACCGAGCGUUGUCCGGAAUCAUUGGGCGUAAAGAGCGUGUAGGCGGCCAACUAAGUCCUGCGUGAAAUCUCGGGGCUCAACCCCGAGCGGUCGUGGGAAACUGGUUGGCUAGAGUGCGGGAGAGGAGAGUGGAAUUCCUGGUGUAGCGGUGAAAUGCGCAGAUAUCAGGAGGAACACCGGUGGCGAAGGCGGGUCUCUGGGCCGAUACUGACGCUGAGGAGCGAAAGCGUGGGGAGCAAACAGG